UACGAAGGGGGCUAGCGUUGUUCGGAUUUACUGGGCGUAAAGCGCACGUAGGCGGAUCGAUCAGUCAGGGGUGAAAUCCCAGGGCUCAACCCUGGAACUGCCUUUGAUACUGUCGAUCUGGAGUAUGGAAGAGGUGAGUGGAAUUCCGAGUGUAGAGGUGAAAUUCGUAGAUAUUCGGAGGAACACCAGUGGCGAAGGCGGCUCACUGGUCCAUUACUGACGCUCAGGCGCGACAGCGUGGGGAUCAAACAGG
rnacentral:rRNA from 1 species